UACGAAGGGGGCUAGCGUUGCUCGGAAUUACUGGGCGUAAAGCGCACGUAGGCGGAUUGUUAAGUCGGGGGUGAAAUCCUGGAGCUCAACUCCAGAACUGCCUUCGAUACUGGCGAUCUCGAGUUCGGGAGAGGUGAGUGGAACUGCGAGUGUAGAGGUGAAAUUCGUAGAUAUUCGCAAGAACACCAGUGGCGAAGGCGGCUCACUGGCCCGAUACUGACGCUGAGGCACGAAAGCGUGGGGAGCGAACAGG
rnacentral:rRNA from 1 species